UUCGAUUAAAUGAAAUUAUUUAUUUAUGCAAAAAUGGGAUGCUUUUCAUAAAGACAAUAUAUCCAUUUUAGUGUAACCUAAACAGUCCUGUUAAAAUUAGCAUACACAUAUAUUCACUUAAAUUCUCAUUUAGUGAAAUAAAGGAUAUACUUCAUUCGGUGUAUUUAUGAGAGAGACAAAAAUGCCAUUUUGCCUGUUUUUUGGUCAUCUCUGGAAUACACAGAGCAGUAUUUUGUUGAGGAUUUUGUUCAUCAUACGGGUUUUGACCAGAAGAAUGAUGCAAAUACGUAGGAAAAAACAAGAAGUUCAACGGUUUGAUUGCUUUGCUAUUCCUGUGACGAGACAUCGUUUGUUGAAUGAAAAUGAUGACCGAUUUAGAUUAGUCGAAUUACUGCGUUCUUUUAAUAUAUUCAGCUGCCGUCCGUGAGAGAUCAUGACUGGUGCUAGGGGGCGUCGGCAGUGUAGCAUUUUCCAUUACUGCUCAUGAACAGACUCAAUCAAACCGAGUCUGCAAUUUUCACUGUUUGCAUUGUUCUCGGUGCUUCCGAGCGAUCUACAUUUCAGAUUAUGUUUAUGAGAACAGAAUUCGAAGCUAGAUUUUUGGGUAAAUAGGUUAUAUCAGCAUUUUAAUUUGUUCGUUGAAAAUAUUUAGUAUAUUCCAUCAGUAUAAUUAACGAAAUGGCAUGUCAGAAAGUGACACUAAUAUGGUCGGUCACGGAAGAUUAGUCUUAAUUAUCGGUUUUACCUGAAUUGUUGAUUGUAGUUCUUAAAACAUGGUGUUUCGUUUGUUCACUAUCAUAAUAGAUAUAGUCAAAACGUCGAAUUGUGCUCUCGCCGAGAUUCAUUUUGUGGCAUCCAGUUUAAGGGAAUGGAUCUGUAAUGGCACUCGGCAAUGUACAUGUAAUUACGUAUUUUCAUUAGGCGAUUCGGCAUUUUUCGGAUGUAGUUGUAGCUCAACGCGCAAGUGCCAUUUGUUAAAACUGGAGAAUGCCGAAAUCGCAUACGGAUUAUACAUUCGCUUAACGGUCAUACCAAUAAAAAAGAAAAACAGGACAAAAACCAAUCAGGGAAUGAAAUGUUCCAUAAAACGCAGCCUCUCUAAAACUAGCCCCCAGCACGCAGACGUGCACACCACAUACAUAGAUUUGCUUACAAAGCCAACACACGAUGACAAAACGAACAAAUAAAGGAACACAGUGGAGUACACUUUGGAACGGUCAGCGACAA
rnacentral:lncRNA from 1 species